GGGGCCAGGGUUGGAUCCCUCCUUACAAAGCCUUUGAAUGUUGAGUGGCCCCCCCAUUGUCUGAUUAAAAAUAAUAAUUAUGAGAACCCCUUCUUAUGAGGGGAGCAGGCCUGGUUUCUGGACACCCCUGAUAAGGUUGAGGUUGGCGGUAAAUUACCGCCUUUGCAUACAAAAAGCUUAUCAAUGCUUUGCUGAGAAAUUACUCUGAUCCCAUAGUCUGCAAGCCCAGUGCACUCCCCUUUCGCGAAAGAAAUAUGUGCUCUAAUCCCCGUGGGAACAUGAUUCCGAUUGGCUGGAACGAGGUUAUAACUCACCUGGUUGAGCGAAGCUUCCCAUUCGGAGGUCUGCGGUAAUUCCAAAUCUUCUACUGUAUAAAAACUACAAAGCGUAUUGGUAACAAAAUUCCGUGAAUAAUUCCUCUCUUUAACAACCUGGAACAAGCUCAAAUUUCCAACUAGGCGGGUAAACAGAUUUCUCCGUGUAGUACUGUACUUUGACAUGGCCGCCUUAUAGCCUCCUCAUUUCUCCUCGCGAACGUGACUUGAUGUCUCAAAGACACCUUCGUGUUGUGAGGCUAUCCGACUAAUUUAUCCGGUGGACGCCUCGGCACCUUAUUUUCUUUUCUU
rnacentral:misc_RNA from 1 species